rnacentral:rRNA from 1 species
CCUACGGGAGGCAGCAGUGAGGAAUAUUGGUCAAUGGGCUUACGCCUGAACCAGCCAAGUCGCGUGAGGGAAGACUGCCCUAUGGGUUGUAAACCUCUUUUGUCAGGGAGCAACGCCGGCUACGUGUAGCCGGACUGAGAGUACCUGAAGAAAAAGCAUCGGCUAACUCCGUGCCAGCAGCCGCGGUAAUACGGAGGAUGCGAGCGUUAUCCGGAUUUAUUGGGUUUAAGGGGUGCGUAGGCGGAAUGCCAAGUCAGCGGUAAAAUCGCGGGGCUCAACCUCGCUCCGCCGUUGAAACUGGCGGUCUUGAGUGGGCGAGAAGUAUGCGGAAUGCGUGGUGUAGCGGUGAAAUGCAUAGAUAUCACGCAGAACUCCGAUUGCGAAGGCAGCAUACCGGCGCCCAACUGACGCUGAAGCACGAAAGCGUGGGUAUCGAACAGGAUUAGAUACCCUAGUAGUC